rnacentral:rRNA from 1 species
GAUGAACGCUGGCGGCGUGCCUAAUACAUGCAAGUCGAGCGAACAGACGAGGAGCUUGCUCCUCUGACGUUAGCGGCGGACGGGUGAGUAACACGUGGAUAACCUACCUAUAAGACUGGGAUAACUUCGGGAAACCGGAGCUAAUACCGGAUAAUAUAUUGAACCGCAUGGUUCAAUAGUGAAAGACGGUUUUGCUGUCACUUAUAGAUGGAUCCGCGCCGCAUUAGCUAGUUGGUAAGGUAACGGCUUACCAAGGCGACGAUGCGUAGCCGACCUGAGAGGGUGAUCGGCCACACUGGAACUGAGACACGGUCCAGACUACUACGGGAGGCAGCAGUAGGGAAUCUUCCGCAAUGGGCGAAAGCCUGACGGAGCAACGCCGCGUGAGUGAUGAAGGUCUUCGGAUCGUAAAACUCUGUUAUUAGGGAAGAACAAAUGUGUAAGUAACUAGGCACGUCUUGACGGUACCUAAUCAGAAAGCAACGGCUAACUACGUG